CAGAUAAGAAGACCUUUCAAAUCAUGGCAUAUAUUGUCUGGUUCCGGGAGGAUUUAGAAGUAUACAGAAGGAUGGAUGCUCUUGGAGGUCUUAGUCAGAACCACAUCCCAUGGUGACAAGGAGGUCAUGCAGAUUGCAUUGGGGCUGCUCAGCUGCUGAUGAAGCAAAAAACAGGCAUGCAUAAACUUUGCAAGGUGAUUUAUCUACUAUUGUAAUUGUUUAGUAAAUAUUGAAAAGUAUAAUCCAUACCAUUAUUGUCAGGAUUUGCACUUCUGCUGAUGGUAACUUCUCUGCAUCUAGUACCUUGAGGGCUCCUAAGGGAUGAUGUUGAGAGAUUUAUGAUUAUCCUGCUGAAGCUAGAGGAAGGUCCUCUGGAAUAUUUUAUACAUGAACAGUAACCCUUCAUAAGCAAACAAGGACUGCCAGUUCACCUAAACAAAGGGAGAGGUGGACGCAGCGCACCCUGGUGCAGCAGCGGGAGGAAGAGAGAAGUGUAUCCUGAGGUGGCCUGGUGGGUUUUCGAAGAUGAGAUAAAGUGUCUAUUGGAUGAGUGGAACUCCCUCACGGAUUAAAAAAAGGAGUCCUAUGUACAGAAAAGGUGAUGGCGAGGAAUCUUUUGUUAAGAAGAGAGCAUGAAAGAGAAAAAGAAGCCAAACUGGCCUAGGAAAGUUUGGAUUUUUCUCGCCAGGCAUUUAAAACUCUAUAAUAAUCCUACCUCGUUAUAAAUUUGAUGGUGAUGUUAAAAAAAAAAUCUCUGGGGAAACACAUACACCAAAUGACUUGUAAACUUAAAUCAUUUGUUGUGCUUGCUUCUGAUGUCUUAUCUCCUUUUGCUGAAAUGUAAGUGAUGUUUUUAUCAAGGCAGUUCACUAAAUUAAUUCCUUGAAUUUGUACUCAGAGAUCACACUCUACGAUGACUUGUGUAUGUCAAAAAAUUUGUUCGUUCUUUGUUGACAUCAAAAUUUUGUAUACCUUUCUUGGCAUAAGUACAUAUCUUACAGGUCUGCAAUAUAAACAUUGUAACUAGCAAGUAUGCUUAUAGUUAUAAAUGUAUUGUCCAAAUGACACAAAUGUACCAUUAUGUGUGACAAAACCAUACUAGAUGUCUUACAACUUCAAAAACCAUCACUGCCACUUAAUAAGUUUUUUUUCACAUGUAGAAAAGUAAUGGUCCAAGACUCCAUCUCUUUUCCUGGUCCAAUUAAGCACUGAAGUCCUGCCUUCUUUUUGAUAACACCACAUGGCCCCUGACAUCUUUUUUACUACGUAGAUGAGUUCAGAUUACACUUGCCUGUUUUCUUUCCUUGAAAAUGAAUGAAUAGUAAAAGAAAGGUUUCCUAUUUGGCCAUGUUAAACGUAAGGUUCAAGAAAGCAUCAAGCGUAAUUGGUGCGGUGGCCUUCCACUUAGCGCUUUAGCGCACAUAAGCGGCGCUUUUUUUUCGCUUUUUUCCACUUAAGCGCUUAUGCAAUCGAUGCGGAAGGCCUCCGCAUUGUGCUUCAGCGCGCAUAAGCGAUACUUUUUUCCGCUUUCCUAAACCUGGAUUUUCAAGUUAAACGAGAUUUUCAGUUAACCUGGACGCUUUUUUCAAGUUAAACGAGAUUUUCAAGCUUCCUGUAAUGAAACCAUUAGUACUGCUUACAAAGUUACUUUGGUCCCUUGUAUGCUGGAUGUCAUUACUUUGCAUCUAGUUUGGAUUGGUUAUUUACCCAAAAGUAGCACUGACAAAUGCACUACUAAUUUGUCUAAUUUUAUAUAGAAUAUUGAUUAAAAUAGCGGAGGUAGUACAGGCUCCAGAAGGAUUGUGUUGUAUCUCGAAGAUGGUAAUUGGGCCAGCCCUCUCUAUCACAGAUUGAGAUGGAGGCGGGCAGGAGGAAGGGAGCCAUUGCCAUUGGACCCGGCUGGCCGGACAUGCGUUAUUCUCUCAUGUUUCUCUGACUGAUAUUAUCGUGGGGUUUCGUACUAGUGAGCUUAUGGUCAAAAGGAUGAAGGAAGUCUAGCUCAUGGGUUCUAGUUGAAGUGCCUGACCUGGAAGCUAGCAUUAUAUUAGGUCUUCACCUUGGACCUCUCUAGCUAUACUAGCUAUCAAUCUGCACAGAAUGAACUUGCUAGCAAAAGUGUAUGUUUUGAUUACCCAUUUUCGCGGGGAUUUGCAGUGCUAUCGACCAGGUUUAACUUUCAUGUACUUGUGGUCACUCAACCAUGUAUGUAUGUUUUGCACUUAAAGAGGUGAGUAAAGUUUGAAAUCUUUGGCUACAUUCUUGGGUUUCUUCUUGCUCCACAAAGAUUAGGAUUUCUUUAAUUUUUGUACACCUUG